rnacentral:lncRNA from 1 species
UGUAGUUUUGUCUUAUAUGUAGGUGCGGUUUUUGACUUUAGGAAGACUCAAUGUGGAAGAAAAUAUGACGAGAAACAGAGGAAAAAGAUAGGUAAAACAAGAGAAUGAAACAAAAAAAAUACAACUCCUUCACUAAAAGUAAGUCGGGACAUCUAUUUAACAUUUUUAAAACAAUUCUUGUAUCUAUGUUUUAGUAUGUGCUUAACCCUCUUUAGUCAUUAUUACUCCAGUGUGUUGGUGUUCAUGAUGUGGUUGAUAUAUAUAUAUAUAUAUAUAUAUAUAUAUAUAUAUAUGUGUGUGUGUGUGUCGUCUAUGCUCUGCAAGUAUCUGUUGCUAGGGUUCAUCUUCAUAAAAGCCGGAAAGAUACUGUGAAAAAGGUAAUGUCUAUAGAAACUCAUGAACGCUCAGUAGGAGAAUCUCUAUAACCUUUU